rnacentral:lncRNA from 1 species
ACUCAGAGCUGCCCUUAGCCUGUGUUAUCCCUCCAAACCUGACCCCCCACAAAAUCCUGGGUUGACCCUGAACCUCAAAACUCCUUGAUCCUUUUGGUCUACUUUGGAGGUUCCUGGGUCCCCUUUGGGGCAGGGGUUUGGGGGUUCCUGGGUCCACUUUGGGAGCUCCUGGGACCCCCUUUGGGUGGGAUUGGUGAUUCCCAGGUCCUUUUUGGGGUCCCUCCUGUUUUGGGGGGGCUGAUUUGGGGCUCCCCCCAGGCGAGGCGAUGGCCCAGGCUCGGGGGCGCUGGCAGGAGCUGAAGGCCAAGUACGGGGAGGCCCUGGGGGCCCUGGAGGAGGCCGUGCCCGCUGCCCUGGAGCAGCUGGAGCGGGGCCAGCAGCUGCUGCAGCGAGGGAAGGCAGCCCUGGAGGCACGGCUGGAACAGCAAGAAGAGCUGAAGGUGAAGGUGCGUGAGGCCACAGAGAGACGGGACCAGCUGCUGCGGCAGGUUCAGGAGCGGCGCCUGCAGCGGCUCCGGCGGCAGGAGGAGCUGCAGGGACUGCGGGACAGAGCGGCCAGGUGAGGGCUGGGGACAGGGGACAGUGAGGGACAGGUGAGGGACAGGUGAGGGGGUCAUGGGAUGGGCACAGGUGAGAAGAGUUGGGGGCCCCUGGGAUUUUGGGGAGUGGUCCAGAGGUCCCGAGAGAGACUCAGGAGUUUGGGGGGACCUCCAGCAUGGGGGAAGGAUCCUCAGGGUACAGAAGAGCCCUGGAGGGGACCCGGUGGCAGUCCAGGUGUCCAGGUGGGGCUCCAGGGAUAGUGGGGGGGAUCCAGUGUAGCUAUGAUAUUUUCUAUAAAAUCCUUUCCUUAGAAUUUUUUUCUCCUGAGAAGCCAAGAGGCCUCAGAAACAAAAUGUAAACAAUAAAUUAUCUGCUGCUGUGGAAUGCA